rnacentral:rRNA from 1 species
AGCGAACGCUGGCGGCAGGCCUAACACAUGCAAGUCGAACGAACCUUUCGGGGUUAGUGGCGGACGGGUGAGUAACACGUGGGAACGUGCCUUUAGGUUCGGAAUAACUCAGGGAAACUUGUGCUAAUACCGAAUGUGCCCUUCGGGGGAAAGAUUAAUCGCCUUUAGAGCGGCCCGCGUCUGAUUAGCUAGUUGGUUGAGGUAAUGGCUCACCAAGGCGACGAUCAGUAGCUGGUCUGAGAGGAUGAUCAGCCACAUUGGGACUGAGACACGGCCCAAACUCCUACGGGAGGCAGCAGUGGGGAAUCUUGCGCAAUGGGCGAAAGCCUGACGCAGCCAUGCCGCGUGAAUGAUGAAGGUCUUAGGAUUGUAAAAUUCUUUCACCGGGGACGAUAAUGACGAUACCCGGAGAAGAAGCCCCGGCUAACUUCGUG